rnacentral:misc_RNA from 1 species
GAUGAAGAACGUAGCAAAAUGCGAUAAGUAAUGUGAAUUGCAGAAUUCAGUGAAUCAUCGAAUCUUUGAACGCACAUUGCGCCCGCUGGUAUUCCGGCGGGCAUGCCUGUUCGAGCGUCAUUUCAACCCUCAAACCCCCGGGUUUGGUGUUGGGGAUCGGCUCUGCCUCACGGCGGUGCCGCCCCCGAAAUACAUUGGCGGUCUCGCUGCAGCCUCCAUUGCGUAGUAGCUAACACCUCGCAACUGGAACGCGGCGCGGCCAUGCCGUAAAACCCCAACUUCUGAAUGUUGACCUCGGAUCAGGUAGGAAUACCCGCUGAACUUAAGCAUAUCAAUAAGCGGAGA